rnacentral:rRNA from 1 species
UACAGAGGGGGCAAGCGUUGUUCGGAAUUACUGGGCGUAAAGGGCGCGUAGGCGGCCUGCUAAGUCGAACGUGAAAUCCCUGGGCUCAACCCAGGAACUGCGUCCGAUACUGGUUGGCUUGAAUUCGGGAGAGGGAUGUGGAAUUCCAGGUGUAGCGGUGAAAUGCGUAGAUAUCUGGAGGAACACCGGUGGCGAAGGCGGCAUCCUGGACCGAGAUUGACGCUGAGGCGCGGAAGCUAGGGUAGCAAACAGG